rnacentral:rRNA from 1 species
AUUGAACGCUGGCGGAAUGCUUUACACAUGCAAGUCGAACGGUAGAGGGGGCAACCCCUUGAGAGUGGCGAACGGGUGAGUAAUAUAUCGGAACGUGCCCAGUCGUGGGGAUAACGUAGCGAAAGUUACGCUAAUACCGCAUACGAUCUAAGGAUGAAAGCGGGGGAUCGCAAGACCUCGCGCGAUUGGAGCGGCCGAUAUCAGAUUAGGUAGUUGGUGAGGUAAAGGCUCACCAAGCCAACGAUCUGUAGCUGGUCUGAGAGGACGACUAGCCACACUGGAACUGAGACACGGUCCAGACUCCUACGGGAGGCAGCAGUGGGGAAUUUUGGACAAUGGGGCGCAAGCCUGAUCCAGCAAUGCCGCGUGCAGGAUG